CUACGGGAGGCAGCAGUGGGGAAUAUUGGACAAUGGGGGCAACCCUGAUCCAGCAAUGCCGCGUGUGUGAAGAAGGUCUUCGGAUUGUAAAGCACUUUCACUAGGGAAGAUGAUGACGGUACCUAGAGAAGAAGCCCCGGCUAACUUCGUGCCAGCAGCCGCGGUAAUACGAAGGGGGCUAGCGUUGCUCGGAAUGACUGGGCGUAAAGGGCGCGUAGGCUGUUUGUACAGUCAGAUGUGAAAUCCCCGGGCUUAACCUGGGAACUGCAUUUGAUACGUGCAGACUAGAGUCCGAGAGAGGGUUGUGGAAUUCCCAGUGUAGAGGUGAAAUUCGUAGAUAUUGGGAAGAACACCGGUUGCGAAGGCGGCAACCUGGCUCGGAACUGACGCUGAGGCGCGAAAGCGUGGGGAGCGAACAGGAUUAGAUACCCUGGUAGUCCACGCUGUAAACGAUGUGUGCUGGAUGUUGGGUGAUUUUAUCAUUCAGUGUCGGAGCUAACGCGUUAAGCACACCNCCUGGGGAGUACNGCCGCAAGGUUGAAACUCAAAGGAAUUGACGGGGGCCGNCACNAACGGUG
rnacentral:rRNA from 1 species